CAGANNUAACCUGCUCAUGAUCUUUAAAUAGCCGCAAUUUUCUUGUGCUAAGGUAGCAUAAUCAUUUGUUUUGUAAUUUAAAACUAGAAUGAAAGGUUUAACAUUUAAAUUUCUAUAAUUUAAAUUUUUUAUAAAAUUAUACUAAAUAUAAAAAUAUAUUUAUAAAAAAAUUAGACGACAAGACCCUAUUGAACUUAAACUUCUGUUAGGCUGGGGAAGCUUUUAAAUUAAAAUUUUCAUCAACUUUUAAUAAAUUUUCCAAUCCAAUUGAUUGUUUAAUCAAGUUACCAUAGGGAUAACAGCGUAAUUUUUAUUUAAAGUUCUUAUUAAAAUAAAAGUUUGCGACCUCGAUGUUGAAUUAAAUUAUCUUUAAUUUUUCGCAACAGAAAUAAAAGUAGGUCUGUUCGACCUUUAAAAAUUUACAUGAUCUGAGUUCAAACCGGAGA
rnacentral:rRNA from 1 species